rnacentral:lncRNA from 1 species
UGAACUUAACAGUUUUGAGCAGUACUGGUCAGGUAUUUUUUGUAAAAUGCCUAGAUCAUCUUGGAUUUGUCCAGUGCUUUUCAUAGUUAGACUAGGGUUGUGAGUUUUGGAGAAGAAGACUCCAGAAUGUCAUUUUAAUCACAUCAUGUCAAAGGUACAUACCAUUAAUGUGACUUAUCACUGUUGAUAUCGACCUUGAUCACCUGAAUGAAGCAUCAUUUUUCAGGUUUCUCCCCUUUUAACAUUACUCCCUGUAUAUCCCACUCCUCAUACAGCCCUAUUUGGAUGGAUAUCACUAUGCACAGCUUACACUCAAGGAAUGAGGAGACAGGCUCCAUCUCUGUGUGAGUAGAGUAUCUACACAGAUUAUGAAGAAAUCUUCUGAACCACAGCCUUUUCUUUCCAAGGUUGGUCAGAACCCAAGCUGCACUGCUGCUGCUGCUAAGUCCCUUCAGUUGUGUCCGACUCUGUGCCACCCCAUAGACGGCAGCCCACCAGGCUCUCCUGUCCCCGGGAUUCUCCAGGCAAGAACACUGGAGUGGGUUGCCGUUUCCUUCUCCACAGGCUGCACUAGUGUUGAUUAUUUUGACUCUCACCGCUGCUAGCCACUUGUGAGCUGCACAGAGAUCCUGCUUCCUCCUGGCCCUCACAGUCAUUUACUUAUGUCCUGUUGGGACAACCACAGUAUCUGGACCUUGCUACCUGUGAAUAAUUAAGAUGCUGUGUUGCUUAGAGAUCUGGGGGUGAGGAUUUUGAAAGGUAAUUUUUCCUCUUGCAGAACAUGUACCUGAAAUGUUGAGUCAGAAGCCAAGUCUGUAUAGCCCUUCCCAGGCUGUGGCUUGGUGGAUCCCCAUCUGUUGGUAUGAACAUUUAAGGCAGUGGACAGAUUUAGUGUUUGGCAAAGGUAGUUUUGUUCAUUUCCUUGGCUUCUUUUUGUUAAAAUGUUACCCAAAGUACUGUACACAUGAGGGAAAUUAUGUCCCUGAAUAAUUUCUUAAGUAUAAGCAAGUUAGAUAUAGAAAGCAAACAAAAAUUCCAAGCCAGGGGACUUCACUGGCAGUCCAGUGAUUAAGACUUUACCUUCCAGUGCAGGGGUGUGGGUUUGAUCCCUGGUUGGGAAGCUAAGAUCCCACAUGCCUCUUGCCCAAAGAAACCAAAACAUAAGAAACAGAAGCAAGAUUGUAACAAAUUCAAUAAAGACUUUAAUAAAAAAAAUUUCCA